GGGCGGUUAGCUCAGUUGGGAGAGCAUCGCCCUUACAAGGCGAGGGUCACUGGUUCGAGCCCAGUACCGCCCACCA
rnacentral:tRNA from 6 species